rnacentral:rRNA from 1 species
CCUACGGGUGGCUGCAGUAGGGAAUAUUGGACAAUGGGCGCAAGCCUGAUCCAGCCAUCCCGCGUGAAGGAUUAAGGCCCUCUGGGUUGUAAACUUCUUUUCUCUGGGAAUAAAAACCGGUAUUUAUAUUGGCUUGAAGGUACCAGAGGAAUAAGCACCGGCUAACUCCGUGCCAGCAGCCGCGGUAAUACGGAGGGUGCAAGCGUUAUCCGGAUUCACUGGGUUUAAAGGGAGCGUAUAUGGCUGUGUAGAAAUAUUGCGGCUCAACCGCAAAACUGCCAUUGAGACUGCUUAGCUUGAAUCAAGUCGAGGUGGAUGGAAUAAUACAUGUAGCGGUGAAAUGCUUAGAUAUGUAUUAGAACACCGAUUGCGAAGGCAGUUCACUAGGCUUGUAUUGACACUGAGGCUCGAAAGCGUGGGGAUCAAACAGGAUUAGAUACCCUGGUAGUC